CGGUGGCGGCCUGCUAUACAUGCAAGUCGAGCGCGGGAAGCGAGUGGAAGUCCUUCGGGACGGAUACUCGUGGAACGAGCGGCGGACGGGUGAGUAACACGUGGGCAACCUACCUGUAAGACCGGAAUAACCCCGGGAAACCGGGGCUAAUGCCGGGUAACCAUUCGGUUCUCCUGAACCGAAUGUAAAAGGAUGGCUUCUUGCUAUCGCUUACAGAUGGGCCCGCGGCGCAUUAGCUAGUUGGUAAGGUAACGGCUUACCAAGGCGACGAUGCGUAGCCGACCUGAGAGGGUGAUCGGCCACACUGGGACUGAGACACGGCCCAGACUCCUACGGGAGGCAGCAGUAGGGAAUCUUCCGCAAUGGACGAAAGUCUGACGGAGCAACGCCGCGUGAACGAUGAAGGUCUUCGGAUCGUAAAGUUCUGUUGUGAGGGAAGAACAAGGAUCGUGCGAACAGAACGGUCCCUUGACGGUACCUCACGAGGAAGCCCCGGCUAACUACGUGCCAGCAGCCGCGGUAAUACGUAGGGGGCAAGCGUUGUCCGGAAUUAUUGGGCGUAAAGCGCACGCAGGCGGUUCCUUAAGUCUGAUGUGAAAGCCCGUGGCUCAACCACGGAGGGCCAUUGGAAACUGGGGAACUUGAGAACUGAAGAGGAGAGUGGAAUUCCACGUGUAGCGGUGAAAUGCGUAGAUAUGUGGAGGAACACCAGUGGCGAAGGCGACUCUCUGGUCGGUUUCUGACGCUGAGGUGCGAAAGCGUGGGUAGCAAACAGGAUUAGAUACCCUGGUAGUCCACGCCGUAAACGAUGAGUGCUAGGUGUUAGGGGGCUUCCACCCCUUAGUGCUGAAGUUAACGCAUUAAGCACUCCGCCUGGGGAGUACGGCCGCAAGGCUGAAACUCAAAGGAAUUGACGGGGCCCGCACAAGCGGUGGAGCAUGUGGUUUAGUCGAAGCACGCGAGAACUUUACCAGUCUUGACAUCCUUGGCUACUUCUAGAGAUAGAAGUCCCUUUCGGGGACCAGUGACCAGCUG
rnacentral:rRNA from 1 species